GUUUGAAUGGAGCAGCCGUUUCUCUCUGCAGAGGGGCGGAGUGAGCGAGCAGGGCUGGACGCGGCAGCGGGGUCGAAGGCUUGUGUGCAGGUUGCAGGUGUGACAUACAGGUGCCUCCUCACACCUGGUGCUUGUUUGGGUCCAUUCAGGAUAAACAGGAUCCCUGCUGCAAAUGUUCUCUCUGCUCCUCUGGAUCUGCUGUCUGGAUACUUCCGUAAUCCACUCUGCCUUUUCCCCUGGAAAGAAGGAUAAGAAUCAACGUGAAUUGCUCUCCACCUCCAGCCUCUGUAAGUAUGCUCACCUCCUCCUCAGGAACUUCACCCCUGCGACAACCUUAAGACUUCCUCCUCUUCUGCACAUCGAUCAUCACCUUUCACAUCCCUAUUCCCUCAAUAACCAUUUACCGCUCCUCCUCUGUGCCGUCCCCUGAUCCCAGAAGAAACAUUCAUUUAUU